UCAAAGCUUCUGUUGGUUUCUUCACCAUUAACCCUCUUAUCUGCGAGCCUUUACCCUUUGUUAUUUUAGUUCCUUUUUUUGUAGAUCAAGAAACCCGAUUAUAUCUGGUGAAAAAGCUACCUCAUAGCAUAUUAAUGCGAUGAUUAGCCACACCCACCUCGAGCUUAUCCAGAAAUGUUACAAGUUCAUUCCUUCAGUUCUUAUUUACUUUUAUCAUGUAGUAAAAGUGUUGAUAUUUUCUACUGGUUAACGGUGAACUUUGAUAUAUCACCACCAUGUGUUUAGUCUUCGCGAUCUGUUUUUCUUCUUGGCUGAUCUACUAACCCAAUUGCUUUUUGUUGCAAAACACAAAUGUUGUCUCUGUACAAACCAACUCCCAAUUAAUUUAGUCUUUGUACAAACCGAAGGCAAUACCCAAAUUUAGCUCUUUAUUGUAUUAUCGGCAAACAAACAUUAAGAAUUGCAAACCCAAAUUCUCUUUUUCUCAUGUCUAGUACCGGUUGAUUUGACGAUCUUCACAGCAAUUCAGAGAAACCCACAUUGUUCUUUCCAAAAAAUAAAGACUAAAACUUGAGAGGGAAUGAAAAUCUGGGUUUCUUUAACGGUGAAUAGUUUGCGAAUAAGUAUGAUAAUGUUGGGUUUUUCAAAUCUAGCUGUGAUAUGCUUCGAUCCAUUUGAUAAAGUUGCGACCCUAAUGUCUUGCAUCAACCUGUUCUAAACUGCAUAAUAGACAACAAUGUUGUGGCGACUGGACAUUACGCUUGGACACCAUCUUCCUGAUCUUUAUUUGAUGAUGAUGCUGCUGUUCAAAGCACUCCGGAUGGUGAUGUUAAUGAAGAAGAAAAUUUGAAGGAAGGAAGUGGAGAUUCGAAGGAGGAUGUUAUUCCUAAUUUCACUAAUGAUGGGUGCAAUUUAGUUGCUAGCAUGAAUAUGAGAAAUAACAGUACUAUAAAUAGUAGUGGAAAGAGAAAAGCAAGAGAACAAUGUGGUGUGCAAAGUACAAAGAAAAGUAAAAAACCUUCCAGAGUAAGUGAUCGAUUGCUCUCAUGUUUUGAUGAACUAUUUGAUCGUGUUUCCACCAAGAAUGAUAGUUGGGAUAAGAUAAGGUAUAGUAUCAGUGAGGUGAUGAUAAAGGUUCAUUCCAUGCCCAGAUUUACUUUCGGUGAUGACUUGUACUAUUUUGCAACUAAGUACUUGUGUAAGAGAUUGAAAAGAGAGAUGUGAGCCUCAAUCGAAGAUAUUGAUAGGAAGUAUCAAUGGCUUCAAAAAAUAUACCAGAGAAGUCGAAAACACUAAAUUACGGUUAGUUUUGCUUUACUAAUGUAUCGUAGUUUUUGUUUUCAAUCACUUUAACAACUAAAUGACUAUGAAAUUUUGUUUUUCUACCAAAUCAUGUACAAGUGUCCAAUAUUGGAACAAUGUCACUUAAGGUUGCUGGAUUGAAGCAUGAAGAGUGGUGUUGGUUUUAUAGAGAACAAACAAUUUAAAUUAUGUUUGCGGAUUACUAACCUAACCUUUUUACAUUUCAUGGAUUAUUAUUACAUUGUUGUGUUGUCUUAUGUUAACUUGAGAGAUAAUAUGUUGUUAUGUUAAGGAAUACCUAUAAUGACUGUUAAGACUUAUGCUAGAACAAUAUGUGAUUGUAUGUCAUGUGUGAAUGCUUAUGGCUAUGCUUGUAUUGGUGUUGUAUUAGGAUGUUGUUUGUGAAUGGUUAUUGCUCUGCUACAACUGCUAUGUGCUGGUAAAUUGUUUGUGCUUGCUUAUGCUGGGUAUGCUAUUUAUGAAUGUUAUUCCUGUUGUAUAUUGGUAUUGGUGUGUUGGUAUGCUGGAACCAUCAGAGCAUGUUGGAAGAGUGAAGGAAACAAAAUAAUAUAAAUGUGUACAAAUAGAGGACAUAUGGCAGGUGGGCCUUUGGAAACAGGAAGUUAUAGAAUCAAGUUUCACAUCAAUUAGAAAGGAGUUAUUAUUAUA